CGUCAUGUUUUGCCUGACAGCUUUCAGGCCCCUGAACGAGAUGGAGUUGAGCAGGAUUCUUGUAGUCCGACAACGCUGUCGGCAGCCAUCUUAAAAAAACUCCACCCUUUUAGUGCACAGGCUCUUAUGGAAGUAUUUUUUCAAAGUAAUUUUUGUCUUAACUGGAUUACAAUUUCGACCAAAGAAAAAUAAUGAAAAAUACUACAUAAUUCAGAUUGUCAUGUGCGAGGAGGAAUUUGUGGAAAAUGCUGUAAUCCAAUUAUUCGACCUCUCCAACCUUGUUAUUGGUCUGUUACAAUACAUAGCAAAUUCUUUCUUCAGUGAGACGUACUCUGCAUUCAUUUUUUCAAGUUGUGCUGUUAACUUUUCGAUUUCUUUUUGCAACUCACUCACCAAUUGGGGUGAGUGUUCACUUGAUGACGGUUCUUCGUCGACCAGGCUGUGGCACGGUUUCGAUGUUGACAGGUCCAUUUGAGAAUCUUGAAGUUCUUCAGCAAGUAGAACUUCACUUGAAUUCAGAUUUUCAUUAACUUCAAAGGGAUGAGGACUGUGUAUCGUAAUGUUGCUAUUAUCUUCCUUCUUGGGUUGGGUAUAGUUUGCUAAAGUGUUCAUAAACAUAGCCUCUGCAACAACAAUACAAUAAUAAAUAUAUGAAAUGUCUUUGAACUUGUAAUGUAUACCUCAGUUGUAGGUAUACAACACUCUUCUUUGUAAACGAACGAAAUUCAAAAUGACUACCUUUGUUUCCCUCUAUUGCCCUAUUAUCUUCCUUCAAAUUCCAGACCGAAUAGCCACAACGCCAGCUUAACAUGCGCAGCUCAAAGCUCUACAAUGCAAAAGCUACCCCCGUUACUACUCCUGGUGUACUUCAUGGUAACGCCUACCCGUCAUAGGAGGUAUUCAAGUUUACAGGCCUUAACCAUUAAUUAGGCCAGGACAUAGCAGACCGUUCCAUGUUCAAACUUAGUCUCCAUCACCUAGGCCAACCCUCUGGCUCUUUAAAUGAGUCAUACGGUUGGCCUAGGACAACCUUUUUCAAUGCCUGAUUUUACAAGAAAUCACGGGAUGCCACCUUCUUUUGUUUCAAGCAGAUGAUCAGCUGGUUGAAGUUUGUUUUGUUCUUUUCUUUAUUGUCUAUUUCGAAACGUUAUUUAAAUGGGAAUUUUGUUUUUACGGAACCACGAAAACAAUUUGACAUUAGAAAUAAGAAUAUUUUGUUGAUUGCUAGUGUGUUGGUUGCGUUUUCCCUCCACAAUGGAAAUUACACUGUUGGAUACCGAAAGAAAAACAUUGGGGCAUUAUUUUAAAAAUCAACACACUUAUCAAACAGGUAUCGGAAUCUCACUGGUUUGAAAACGGGGCAACAACCAGCAACUGAACAGUCAGUUGGAAAACAACUUUCCAAGCCUACUAUACAAUUAGGGAUAUACCUUUUAAAUCUUAUUAGGACGUGCAGUACUGGACCGCUAAAGGACGUUAUAAGGACGCGCUUAAGCCACGGUCCUUUUUAAAAAUAAAUCACGUCCCUGAGAAGAAGUCUUAUUUCGAUCCAUUUCUUUAAAAGCCACGUUGCCACAAUUAACAGUGUAGCGUUGGGGUUCAAUUUUUCAAGAAUUACGUACACCACAUCAAAUAAUAAUCUAGAAUUUCUUUUUGAAUACGUAGUGAUUGGUUAACAAGAAGAAGCUCAGUCUAUGAUGCGGGAGUCCAAUGAUCGAAACUUAUAAUAGUUAUAUUUAUCUUCUGGUAUUUUGGUCAAAGAGCGCAAGGUGUAGAUUUAUUAAAGGCUAAAUUUUU